UGGGGAAUAUUGCACAAUGGAGGGAACUCUGAUGCAGCGACGCCGCGUGAGUGAUGAAGGAAUUCGUUUCGUAAAACUCUGUUCUAUGGGAAGAAAAGGACUGUACCAUAGGAGAAAGCUCCGGCUAAAUACGUGCCAGCAGCCGCGGUAAUACGUAUGGAGCGAGCGUUGUCCGGAAUUAUUGGGCGUAAAGGGUGCGCAGGCGGCUUUACAAGUUGGAUGUGAAAUAUUGUGGCUCAACCACAAACGUGCAUCCAAAACUGCAAAGCUUGAGUUAAGGAGAGGUAAGUGGAAUUCCUGGUGUAGCGGUGGAAUGCGUAGAUAUCAGGAGGAAUACCGGUGGCGAAGGCGACUUACUGAACUGAAACUGACGCUCAGGCACGAAAGCGUGGGGAGCAAACAGG
rnacentral:rRNA from 1 species